UCUGGACUUGCUCACUUGAAGCUGGCUUGUGUACCAUGUACUAAGAUGCCUACCAACAAUAAACUGAACCAAGCAAAGAUGCUGAACACAAAUGAUGCUGGAAGUUGAGAUCAAUGGACUAGUGUAUAUCUGUUUGUGUUUGUGCAGGUGUGGAAACGUCUUUCCAUUUAGGAAAAGGGAGAUCAUUUUCCUCUAAAGUGGCUUAUUUUUUCUCUUAAACUAAGAAAACAUUUACUGUUGACAGAUAUUCCUAUGUGUUCCAAGAACAAGAAAAUGCAAAUAUUUUUCAAAAAAGAAUAUUUCCUUUAAACCAGGCAAAGACCUCAUUUGCUCAAGUGACAUGAAAUAGACAAAUAAAAUCAAGAAGUACAUGAUUUCAUAUAGACAAAAUAAUUAGACAUGG
rnacentral:misc_RNA from 1 species